GACAGAGGGGGCGAGCGUUGUCCGGAGUCACUGGGCGUAAAGCGCGCGCAGGCGGCAACCUUAGUGUCGUGUGAAAGCCCCCGGCUCAACCGGGGGAGGCCAUGGCAAGCUGGGUCGCUCGAGCUGCGGAGAGGCUCCUCGAAUUGCCGGUGUAGCGGUGACAUGCGUAGAGAUCGGCAGGAAGACCAAGGGGGAAGCCAGGGGGCUGGCCGCAGGCUGACGCUGAGGCGCGACAGCGUGUGGAGCAACCCGG
rnacentral:rRNA from 1 species